GGAAAGUGGUCAUGGUCGGAACUUUUGGGAGACGGGGGAUUUUGGUUUUCUUGGUGUACCUGUCGAUGUUACUUUGGUUCUAAAUAAUGCCGAAAAAUCCUAGUGCCUAUGAAGGACAUCGAAUACAAUCACUGGAUACUGGCUGUAUUGGACAUUAAGAGUUCCUCUGCAUCGUAUUGGGACUCCAUGUCCACUGCACGCGCAAAAAGGCACAGGAUACAUAUGCUUAGCACACUGUUGAAGAAGCUUGAUAAGUUGCUGUUGAGGACGAUGGAUGAUGUGCAUUCUGGCCGACCUGUUUUUGAAGUUUUCAAUAUAGUGCCUGCCGGAAAACUCCCGCAAUAGGACAAUGGACAUGAUUGUGGUAUUUUUGUCAUGAGGUUUAUGGAGUACAUUGCA